AUGGCAAAAUUUUGGUGGAGCAGUUCGAUCGACCGGCGUUCCAUGCACUGGAUAGGUUGGAAGUCCUUGUCACUUCCAAAAAUAAGAGGAGGAAUGGGAUUCCGUGAUCUAGAAUGCUUCAAUGUUGCUUUGUUGGGAACACAUGGUUGGAGGCUGAUUACAAGUCCGCAUGCUUUAUGCUCCAGGGUGCUAAAAGGUCGUUACUUCCCAACGACAGAUUUCAUGCAUGCUACUGUUCCACGCAAUUCUUUGGCUAGCUGGCGAGCGAUAGUUGCAGGAAGGGCAACAUUGGAGGCUGGACUACUAAAUAGGAUCGGGGAUGGCUCCUCUAUAAGAAUCUGGGAAGAUAGAUGGCUCCCAGGGAGAUUAUCACUAUGA
rnacentral:rRNA from 1 species